rnacentral:tRNA from 71 species
GGGCCCGUAGCUCAGUUGGUUAGAGCGCACGCCUGAUAAGCGUGAGGUCGCUGGUUCAAAUCCAUUCGGGCCCACCA